rnacentral:rRNA from 1 species
CAGCAGCCGCGGUAAUACGGAGGGGGCUAGCGUUGUUCGGAAUUACUGGGCGUAAAGCGCACGUAGGCGGCUUGGUAAGUUAGAGGUGAAAGCCCGGAGCUCAACUCCGGAAUUGCCUUUAAGACUGCCGAGCUAGUAGGUGAGAGAGGUAAGUGGAAUUCCGAGUGUAGAGGUGAAGUUCGUAGAUAUUCGGAAGAACACCAGUGGCGAAGGCGGCUUACUGGCUCAUUCUAGACGCUGAGGUGCGAAAGCGUGGGGAGCAAACAGGAUUAGAUACCCCUGUAGUCCCUGUCUCUUAUAC